rnacentral:rRNA from 1 species
AUUGAACGCUGGCGGCAUGCUUUACACAUGCAAGUCGAACGGCAGCGCGGGCUUCGGCCUGGCGGCGAGUGGCGAACGGGUGAGUAAUGCAUCGGAACGUGCCCAGUAGUGGGGGAUAGCCCGGCGAAAGCCGGAUUAAUACCGCAUACGACCUGAGGGUGAAAGCGGGGGACCGAAAGGCCUCGCGCUAUUGGAGCGGCCGAUGUCGGAUUAGCUAGUUGGUGGGGUAAAGGCUUACCAAGGCGAGGAUCCGUAGCUGGUCUGAGAGGACGACCAGCCACACUGGGACUGAGACACGGCCCAGACUCCUACGGGAGGGAGCAGUGGGGAAUUUUGGACAAUGGGGGCAAACCUGAUCCAGCCAUGCCGCGUGCGGGAAGAAGGCCUUCGGGUUGUAAACCGCUUUUGUUCGGGAAGAAAUCCUCUGGGCUAAUACCCCGGGGGGAUGACGGUACCGGAAGAAUAAGCACCGGCUAACUACGUG